UUCCUUCCUUCCUUCCUUCCUUCCUUCCUUCCUUCCUUCCUUCAAGGUACAGGAACUUUAGAGAUUCUCAUCUGAAAACUGGCAGAUUGGACAGAACCUUCGGUUGCAACAUCUGCCCGCUACAUCUGUCGAGGGGCAGCCAGGAUUCCCAUCCUCUGCAAAUCCACGGCUCAACCAUUUACAGAUUAACUGCAGCAAUAAUGCCUCCUAAAACACACUGAAACUGCAUCAAGCUGCCACAUAUCUCCUCAGCGACAUAUAAUUGUUUACAGAGAAUUAAAUAUGUCUUCAUGGAUGUCCUUCAUCUUCAUUUCUCAUGUUGUAAAACCCACUUUUUUUUUUUUUGAGAAAUUAAUUUCUCAUUGGAGAAAGUGGAUAAGAUAAAUCAAAUAUAGUUCCUGUAGCUUUAAGCUUCACAGUAGUGACCCAGUUUUAGACCCAGACCCUCAUGUGAGAGUAAUUCAGUGUAGCUGUGAAGGUUUCUGACUGGUGUCUCUUGUAAUCACAUCAGCGUAGUCAGGGUUGGGAAUUAAGAUGCUGUUAAUGUGUUUUUUUUUUCGAGCGACCAUUUUUUUUCACCUUGUUCCCAGCCUUUAAAAUCACAGCAUGCAGGAUGGGUUGUCUUGUAAAGUGGUUGGAUUGAACAGUAAACAAUCCCUUACAGAAGGAUUUACUCAGUGGUCUGAACAUUACUGCAUGCCACACUAUUCAUUUGUUUGAAAAAAAUCCCCCAAAAUUCCAAUAAUGCGCUACGGUGGGCUGUCCAUCUAAAAAUCUGGAUAAAAGGUUUGUUUUCUGGAAUAUGAAAAAAUGUCAAGUUCAAGGUGUUUGAACAUUUUCCAAGCCACCAUAGGGCUGGAAAGCAGACAAGUCGAUGAACUUUGCAGGAGGGGGAACCUUUGGCUUUUUUGUUUCACUCAAUGCUGCAGCGUUCAGGCAGUUCCUGCAAUUAUCUGGAAAUGGCCUGUCAGAUCAGCCUGCUCUCAGAGGCUGACUGAGUGGAUGAGUGUGCCUGAAAAAUGAAUUAUAUCCACACUUCCUGAGUGCCAGUUGAAAUUUUCAACAGAGUGGAAAGAAGGAAGCACUAUGUAAAAAAAAAAAAAAAAAAAAAAAAAA